rnacentral:rRNA from 1 species
UACGUAGGGUGCGAGCGUUAAUCGGAAUUACUGGGCGUAAAGCGUGCGCAGGCGGUUUUGUAAGGCAGAUGUGAAAGCCCCGGGCUCAACCUGGGAAUGGCAUUUGGGACUGCAAGGCUGGAGUAUGGCAGAGGAGACUAGAAUUCCUGGUGUAGCAGUGAAAUGCGUAGAUAUCAGGAGGAAUACCGAUGGCGAAGGCAGGUCUCUGGGCCAAUACUGACGCUCAUGCACGAAAGCGUGGGGAGCAAACAGG